AUUAUACCAUGGACCAAGGUUUACACUGCAUUGUAGACCUUGGUCCAAAAAUAAACUUCAGAUUCUGUAUCUAUAGUUAACACAUUCUGUACCUGCAGUUGAUACUUUAUGUACCUGUAGCUAUCAUAUUAUGUGUCGGCAAUUAUCAAGUUAUUUGUUUAUAUGUACAAAAACUAUUAACUGUAAAUACAAAAUGUGUUAACUGAAUGUACAUAAUUUUUGUAUCAGGGUUCACAAUGUAA